rnacentral:rRNA from 1 species
AUUGAACGCUGGCGGCAGGCCUAACACAUGCAAGUCGAGCGCGCGGCGGACGGGUGAGUAAUGUCUGGGAAGCUGCCUGAUGGAGGGGGAUAACUGCUGAAAACGGUGGCUACUACCGCAUACCAUCAGAUGUACCCAGAUGGGAUUAGCUAGUAGGUGGGGUAAUGGCUCACCUAGGCGACGAGCCCUAGCUGGUCUGAGAGGAUGACCAGCCACACUGGAACUGAGAAACGGCCCAGACUCCUACGUGAGGCAGCAGUGGGGAAUAUUGCACAAUGGGCGCAAGCAUGAUGCAGCCAUGCCGCGUGUGUGAAGAAGGCCUUAGGGUUGUAAAGCACUUUCAGCGAGGAGGCGUUACUCGCAGAAGAAGCACCGGCUAACUCCGUGCCAGCAGCCGCGGUAAUUC